UACGGUAGGGUGCAAGCGUUGUCCGGAAUUAUUGGGCGUAAAGAGCUCGUAGGCGGUUUGUCGCGUCUGCUGUGAAAACUCGGGGCUUAACUCCGGGCCUGCAGUGGGUACGGGCAGACUAGAGUGCGGUAGGGGAGACUGGAAUUCCUGGUGUAGCGGUGAAAUGCGCAGAUAUCAGGAGGAACACCGGUGGCGAAGGCGGGUCUCUGGGCCGUAACUGACGCUGAGGAGCGAAAGCUAGGGGAGCAAACAGG
rnacentral:rRNA from 1 species